ACCAUUGCCAGGAACCAUGCCACACCAUACCAGUCAGUGAGCCAGGCUGGUUCUUCUUAUCACAAAAGAUCAAAUGCCCAGGAAUAUGAGUCAUCUGAAGAUUCCUGCUAAUGAGCAGAGCCCUGCACGAGAGUUGACAAGACUGAAGCCCAGAGUUCUUUGUCCAUGAAUGUUGGACAAGAAUGAGCAGUGCCUGCUUCUCUUAACUUCGAAUCUGCUUCAACAGAAAGAGCUUAAUGGAAAAGCAUGCCCUGCACUUCUGUUUUCCAUGAGGAGCCAGAAGUCAUCAGCAAAGCUGCAGCCCAAGAUGAGAAAAGCCAUUCGCCUCCUGGGGCCUCCAUGGAGUGAAUGCCUUUAAGAUGACAAGAGCUGGGAUGUAGGAGGAAGGUCAUUUUGGGACUCUCGCCCAUUUCCCACAGACCUAUAUACCCCGCCUGCAAACCUGACGGAAAGGCCCACACACCACACCAGAGAGAUGUGGAGGGACGGAGCAUUCAUCAUAGACAGCAUUGGAGCCCCCGUCCCGGAACCCUGAGCAUGCCUGCAGGUUAUCAGUGGAUGCCUCACCUUAGAAAAGUCCCGUAAAACUGAGGAAGAUUGUGGGAGGUAUCCUUGGGGGUCAUCUAGACCAGCACUCCAGCCUGCCCCAAAUCUACAGAUCAAAAAAGCAAAGUCCAGAGAAGUAACGUCUCAAGGUCACAUAAGUCAGUCCCUAUCAACAUCAGCACUAAAAUCAAGGCUUCCUAAAACCAGUCGGAUCAUUGUUCCAUUACAGCAUAUGGCUUUUCUUCUGGAAAAAUGUCCAACUGUAGCAGACAGAAAGGAAGCCAAGAGAGGGUGUUUACAGCAAGGAGGGGCUAUGAAAUAUCUUCACUCCAGGUUCUUUACGAGCUGCAGUGUAUCAUUUUUAUCAGUAAUUGGAAGCAUGCUGCAUGUUUGACUCUGUGGACUCCUGCUUUACACAACAGAACAUUCCGAUGGUGUGCAUGUGCCAUACCCUGCCGUAACAAAUCUCAGCUGGUCCUCUGCUGUCCUCUGGGGAGAAUGCAUUUGAACUCAUCUCAAAGAGCUGGUUUUCUACCCUGGAGGUCUCCGAUGGCUACUGCGAGAAGAAAGCCAUGUCCCGAAAGCAGUGAUACAGAUUGGCAGCCACUGCAGAGAUGCAGAAUGUCGAAGAGUGUGUGUGUUGGAAUUCCUGGACAGACACUGCUCUGAAAGAAAAACCCUCUGGUUUUGGAAGUCUGGUUGGGCAAGGCAGGCGGAGGUCAUGGAGGGGCCGGCGUGAUGGAAUCCUCGGUGCAGCUGACUGCGCAGCCCGACACUGGCGUGGACACUGGGAUGCGUCAUGCAACAUCCAACCAGAGCACACUCACGAGGACAAACAUGGGCCCACCUAUUUACCAUCAGAAAAACAAAAUCACGCUCUUUCACUUUGAAAGAAGGGGGAAACUGGAAAGUUAUUAUUUGAAAUAAAAUGGAAUUUUAGGAUAA